rnacentral:lncRNA from 1 species
GAUAUGAAUUGUCCCCCACUCUUGGUUCUCGAUUCUUCAUUUCCCUUGUUGUCGAUUCCAGUUCCAAAAUAAGCAUAGCCUCCUCCCUUUUGAAACUUUUCAUCGUCGCUGUCCUCUUCAUCGAUUCAAGACCUAUUCAAGAAAUCCUUCUAGUCUGGCUUGACCCUUUGUCUUCCAGUCCUCAUCCAACGCACAACAUAUUCAAGCACAAUCCCCACUAGGUAAACCUCAUCCCCUCUUUUUAAACUUUCAGUUACUAUUGUAUGAGCUACCAAAUCGUCAUUCUUAGGAUAUGUCUGAACCAAAUACCUUGAAAAUUCCAUUUGUUCUGCUGAAUGUCUCUAAUAUACGCCCAUAUUACUGAUUUAUACGGGUCUUUCAACUGACAUGUCUUUAUUAUUGUUAAUACGUCGCCCUCGAUUACCACUAUCGCCAAUCCCAUGUUCACCCCCAAUUGCACCGCCUGAGAACAUGCAAGAGCCUCAGCUACAAACGAAGACGCUACAUCCUUAUGAAGGACCAAUUUCGAGGCCAGAACCUCUCCUCUAUCAUUUCUGACUACCAUUCCCAAUCCCAAUCUAAACUUUUGGGGGUCCUAAGCUGCAUCAAAAUUAAUCUUGAUGGUUGUAUUGUUUGGAGGACUCCAUUCAGUGGCUAAAUAUCCCUUUGUAAGUGUCAUUUUUCCUAAACCAUCUAAUUCUCUAAUAUAUCUGAAAAUCAGCUCAGUUAUCCCUCGUCCAAAAUUUAGUUUUCCCUCAGGCAUAUGUUUAUUCAUUUUUGUCCAGGUUACCCAUAUUGCACAGCAAAACAAGCGACAUUGGUUGAUUGAACACCUCCUGAAAGCCCAGGUAAGCUAUUCCCUACUGUCUAAAUUAGGCAUUGAUACAAGCCAUGCAAGAUUUAAAAUUUCUCAUACUUCCAAUGAUAUAGGGCACUCAUGGAACACAUGAUCAAGACUCUCCACAUCCCUCCCACAUAUGGGACACGGUGUAUUCACCACUAGUCUUUUAUAAUUUAGAUUAGUUAGAGUAGGCAAAAAGUUCCAUGAAAUUUUUCAGACUAAUUUUUUGUAUUGCAGAUAGAUUUAGACUCCAAAGUUUCCUGUAAAAAGUUUUGGAAUCAUUCUAAAAACCAAUAGCAUUAGGAUCUGUAUUACCUACUAAUAGUAGUUUAUAUCCACUUCGAUAGGGGUGUAUAAAUUUCGGGUAAAAUCGAAUUAAUUUCAUUAACCAACCAAAUUCGAUUAAUUGGUCGGUUGACCGAAUUAAUUCGAUCGGGGGCCAGUUAAUAAUUUUUUGGAAGUUCGGUUAACUGUUAAUUAAGUUAGAAAUCGGUUAAUUAACCGAAAGUUUUUAUUUUUAUACAUAUUUUACAUAUAUUAAAUUUAGUUAAUUUCAUUAAUUCAGUUAAUUUUUUAUAUGUUUUAUACUUGUUUUAACAAAAAAAAAUAUAAAUUUUGGCUAAUCGACCGAAUUAACCAAAAAAGUUCUAUUCAAUUAAUUUUUUUGAAAAAAAAUUGGUUCGGUUAAUGGUUAAAUGUUUUAAAGAGUUGGUUAAUUCGGUUAAUGAUAGUUCUGGUUGAUUAAUCGAUUGAA